rnacentral:rRNA from 1 species
GGGACACGUGGUAUCCUGUCUGAAUAUGGGGGGACCAUCCUCCAAGGCUAAAUACUCCUGACUGACCGAUAGUGAACCAGUACCGUGAGGGAAAGGCGAAAAGAACCCCGGCGAGGGGAGUGAAAAAGAACCUGAAACCGUGUACGUACAAGCAGUGGGAGCACGCUUAGGCGUGUGACUGCGUACCUUUUGUAUAAUGGGUCAGCGACUUAUAUUCUGUAGCAAGGUUAACCGAAUAGGGGAGCCGAAGGGAAACCGAGUCUUAACUGGGCGUUAAGUUGCAGGGUAUAGACCCGAAACCCGGUGAUCUAGCCAUGGGCAGGUUGAAGGUUGGGUAACACUAACUGGAGGACCGAACCGACUAAUGUUGAAAAAUUAGCGGAUGACUUGUGGCUGGGGGUGAAAGGCCAAUCAAACCGGGAGAUAGCUGGUUCUCCCCGAAAGCUAUUUAGGUAGCGCCUCGUGAAUUCAUCUCCGGGGGUAGAGCACUGUUUCGGCAAGGGGGUCAUCCCGACUUACCAACCCGAUGCAAACUGCGAAUACCGGAGAAUGUUAUCACGGGAGACACACGGCGGGUGCUAACGUCCGUCGUGAAGAGGGAAACAACCCAGACCGCCAGCUAAGGUCCCAAAGUCAUGGUUAAGUGGGAAACGAUGUGGGAAGGCCCAGACAGCCAGGAUGUUGGCUUAGAAGCAGCCAUCAUUUAAAGAAAGCGUAAUAGCUCACUGGUCGAGUCGGCCUGCGCGGAAGAUGUAACGGGGCUAAACCAUGCACCGAAGCUGCGGCAGCGACGCUGAUGCGUUGUUGGGUAGGGGAGCGUUCUGUAAGCCUGCGA